UCGGGUUUAACUUGAGCCAUCCAUAGGGUCCUAUUAGUACUUAUUCAGCGCAGGGAGGACGGUCCCAGGGCUAUUGCUUCAGUUCAUCCCUUGCCAGAGUCGUUUGCCCCUGAAACAUUACAAGGAGAGAAUUGGAUCCUCGUUAGCUGGAUGAACUGCAUUCCAGUCUGACCCUGCGGUCUCUCGUGUGUAGCCUUAACCUGUAUCUCGAGUAUUUUAUCAAACAAGGCGCUUACUUACAGUGCUACCAACUUACGAUUGUCCUUUGAUGGGUAAUUUGGAGCCAUGUGGCCCCAACUACCUAAUCCCCCACUCAGCCGUAAAGUGAGCAACGUAAAAUAUUUACUUCCGUAUUUUUGCACAAAGUCGCCGUUUCGUGUGUCCAAAAAAAUUGAAAUUUGUCCGCCUCGAAUUAAUCUCAUUACAUUAAUGAACCGCAACUGUAACAGUCGCUAUUUAAUAAUUUGUUGUUUAGAAAAAUUGAUAUCGUUCCAAAUUCUCGUGUUACCACUAAGUGCAAUGACUUUCUUAAUACCAUCAAGCAACUAAUCGAUUUCAGUUUCUUCACUUCACCCGUCAAACCGCGAAUUACUGUAGAAAUAGAAGAUUUUUUUGGGAUCCAAGUAGGCUUGUUCGUGGGUAGUUUUGAUAAUUGAAAAGUUGAAGGCUUAGAAUAUACGAAUUCGUGGAAUGUUGAGCUCCAGCCGUAACUGAAAAUAUCGAAAAUCUCCAUGUGUGCGCUUAGGAGUAAUAUCGCCGAGUUAAUGUUGGAAAGAAGAUAAUAAGAACCAUAAUAAAAUAAAGAUAAAUAAUACGCCUUCAGUACAAAGUAAAUGUAUAAAUAAUUAAACAAAUCACCAAUCAGCGAAUAAAAUUCAAUUUAAGUCUUAUAUAGAAUGCUAUAAGAAAGCUGUGAUAUUCGUGCGACAGAAUUUGAAUUUAACGAGAUAAAGAUAAAACCAACACACCACAAACAACUACACUCAUUCUACAGGAUAACGAGAGAUAAUCAGGAAGCAGUGGCGAGUACGACUGCAAACUCACCCCCUGAGAGUAAUACGGGAUAAGAAAAAGCCAGAAGAAAGCAUUUUUUCGUUUAUUGAUAAUUUUAAAUUUUUAUUUUUUACUGGUAAUCGCUAAGGAGAGAACGCAAGUAAUUCUACGCAACAACACAGACUGAUUUGGUUUAGCAGGAGGAGAUCCUUUCGAUAAAGUGAAGUGAGAGCGCGAAGGACAAUUUGUAACUAAACCUACUAUACAGUGUGUGAUAUAAAGUUAAGUUUAUUUCUAAAACCUAAAGCCAAGCAUAUUUGGAAUCGUAAGGAGUAAGGAUCCGCAGACGGUGCGUGCUAGCUUUGUAGCUCUGUGAGUUUGAAUCUUGGAGAUUUCAAGCGUAUUGUGGAAAGCUUCGGCGCGUAAAUUUCGGAAGAGAAGCAGUCACCAUUCUAGUAAUCUAGGAAA